rnacentral:sRNA from 1 species
UACCCAAACGAGGAGGUCAAUGUGCACAU